GACGAACGCUGGCGGCGUGCCUAAUACAUGCAAGUUGAGCAAUGAAGAUUGGUGCUUGCACCAAUUUGAAGAGCAGCGAACGGGUGAGUAACGCGUGGGGAAUCUGCCUUUGAGCGGGGGACAACAUUUGGAAACGAAUGCUAAUACCGCAUAACAACUUUAAACAUAAGUUUUAAGUUUGAAAGAUGCAAUUGCAUCACUCAAAGAUGAUCCCGCGUUGUAUUAGCUAGUUGGUGAGGUAAAGGCUCACCAAGGCGAUGAUACAUAGCCGACCUGAGAGGGUGAUCGGCCACAUUGGGACUGAGACACGGCCCAAACUCCUACGGGAGGCAGCAGUAGGGAAUCUUCGGCAAUGGACGAAAGUCUGACCGAGCAACGCCGCGUGAGUGAAGAAGGUUGUCGGAUCGUAAAACUCUGUUGGUAGAGAAGAACGUUGGUGAGAGUGGAAAGCUCAUCAAGUGACGGUAACUACCCAGAAAGGGACGGCUAACUACGUG
rnacentral:rRNA from 1 species